UCCAAAGUCCUCCCUCGGCUCUCUCUACAGGGAAGAGUCUGCCAACCUCAGCAAGCUUGGGUCCUACACAUCUAGGGCAACCCUUCUCUCUCUCUCUCUCUCUCUCUCUCUCUCUCUUCAUAUAUUUCUUGCAGCCUUUUCUCCUUUGCCCUUUUCCCCUUCUUUCCCAGAAGAGAUCAGAAAAAGGAAAGAAGAAAGGGAGCUUCCAUGGAUGAUAGAAUCCCACCUGGAACUUACUUCCAAUACUCUCCAUCUGGAAUUCACUCAUCUCCUCACAACUCCAUCAGGCCUUCUUCUUCCGCUUCUUUAGAUCGUGAAAGUAGCAGAUAUUUGGCCGAAUUGUUGGCUGAGAGACAGAAAUUGGGACCCUUUAUGCAAGUUCUGCCACUCUGUAGCAGGCUUCUAAAUCAAGAAAUUGUACGAGCAUCUGGUCUGGCACCUAGCCAAAAUUUUGUUGAUCGUGAGAGCAUGGAGCAUGGGAGUCCAUUGAGAUCAGCAGGCCUCCAUUCGAAUGGUGGACCGAUGGAUUUGGAGGGAUGGUCUGGGAUGCAAACAGAAGAAAAUGAAUAUCUUCAAAGAAUGAGCAUCCUCCAAGCAUCUUCAGUGGGUUGGCAUGGGGCUCCUGGAGUUCCUUCGAGCCCUGUUGUAAAGAAAGUCAUGAGAUUAGAUGUUCCUGUUGACAAGUUUCCCAAUUACAACUUUGUUGGUCGGCUUCUGGGACCGCGGGGGAAUUCCUUGAAAAGGGUCGAAGCUACAACACACUGUAGAGUGUACAUAAGAGGUCGAGGUUCGGUGAAGGAUUCUGUUAAGGAGGAAAAACUCAGAGAUAAACCUGGAUAUGAACACCUAAACGAGCCAUUGCAUGUUCUGGUGGAGGCUGAAUUUCCCGCAGAUGUGAUCGAUUCCCGGUUGAAUCAGGCCAUGGCUAUAUUAGAAGAUCUUUUGAAGCCCGUGGAUGAGUCCUUAGACUACUACAAGAAGCAGCAGUUGAGGGAAUUGGCUAUGCUGAAUGGCACACUGAGGGAAGAGAGCCCUCACAUGAGCCCUAGUGUGUCCCCCUUCAACAGUACAGGAAUGAAACGAGCCAAAACAGGACGGUAGUUGGGUCCUUUUUCCAUUCAAUGACAGUUCCCUUCUGGGGUCCCACUGCCUAAGAGUGCGUGCUAGUGCCUCUAGAUUGUGCCGGUGGAUUCUCAAAUGACAACUUCAUCAGAGGACGUCCUUGUGUGUCUGAGAAUUCUCUACUGACCUGUGUUCAAGCACGCCUGAGUAUGUUGGCCAUGCUUGCAUCAUUUAUGCAUGCAACUGUAUUUAUGUUUGAGAAGGCCUCAAGCCAACCAGUUGGAUCACAAGUUUUGGUCCACCCAGCGCACGAGCCCUUCCAAUACGUUUGCCCCACCAUGAAGAUCACCUUGUGCAAAAACCAGCCCCAUCUACUCAUCAGGUGGGUCAUAGUGUAGAUAAUAAUGUCUAGCCAUUGGUAAAUAGCAAAAUCUAUGUGUGGUUCAGUCAAUAUGAUUGGAUGUGGCUGAUUCUUUUCCUUUUUUUUUUUUUGAAUGAUAUUGGAUGUGGCUGAUUUUUUAUUUUUAUUUUUCUUUCUUUUUCUGAAUGAUGUUGGAUGUGGCUGAUUUUUCUAUAAUGUGAUCAUCGAUGGGGCUGGCCUAUUGUAUGGGUUCGAUGUUGCACACUAAUGAAAGAUUGGAAGUUAUCCGCUGGGUGGACCAUAACUUAUAGUCCAACCAGUUGGACUUGAGAGCUUAUCUUUAUAUAUAUUACAAUUGCUCUUUCAUGUUGGCAUGUUGCUAAUUACUUUCAAGUUCCAAAAUUUCCCCGAGCUAAUAGCAGACCUGACAUGAGAACAUACUGAUUUUCAUGUAUGUGCAGAAAUAACCUUCUUUCUCACCUUUUCUUUA